rnacentral:rRNA from 1 species
GAUGAACGCUGGCGGCGUGCCUAAUACAUGCAAGUCGAGCGAACAGACGAGGAGCUUGCUCCUCUGACGUUAGCGGCGGACGGGUGAGUAACACGUGGAUAACCUACCUAUAAGACUGGGAUAACUUCGGGAUACCGGAGCUAAUACCGGAUAAUAUAUUGAACCGCAUGGUUCAAUAGUGAAAGACGGUUUUGCUGUCACUUAUAGAUGGAUCCGCGCCGCAUUAGCUAGUUGGUAAGGUAACGGCUUACCAAGGCGACGAUGCGUAGCCGACCUGAGAGGGUGAUCGGCCACACUGGAACUGAGACACGGUCCAGACUCCUACGGGAGGCAGCAGUAGGGAAUCUUCCGCAAUGGGCGAAAGCCUGACGGAGCAACGCCGCGUGAGUGAUGAAGGUCUUCGGAUCGUAAAACUCUGUUAUUAGGGAAGAACAAAUGUGUAAGUAACUAUGCACGUCUUGACGGUACCUAAUCAGAAAGCCACGGCUAACUACGUG